CAUAAAGCUCGGGAUAUCCACGUUAAGGAGGAUGGCCUGGAAGAAAAUCAUGAAGUGUUUCACAUUAUACAGAGCACAGCUAUGCUGUCCUGGGGCAAAAGUUCCCUUCAAAAUCAGGGAUUUGCAGCCAGGUUUGCAGAGCUCUGUUAUGUGUGUGCUGUAUAUAUCUGAGCUGAGCCCUCUGGCCCCAUGCAACGUAAACCUACAGUCCGUGGUCUCCGCCAGAAUUAAUGGGCUUUCAAUAUCCUUAAAAAAAAGAAGAAGCAAAAAAGAAGAAGCAAUGAAUAGAGUGAAUCAAUGCUUUUCCAGGCUGAUGUCAUGUUUCAUGAAGGCACUGAUCUUCUGACUUGUUCUCUGUAUUUGAGGACCAAGAAGCAGAGAGGGAAACAUG